rnacentral:ncRNA from 1 species
ACAGAUAGAGGCGCGUCUUUAAUGAUUAUUCGGAAGUGAAAUCGCCCAUAGAUUAUUGAUCUCCGUAAGAAAGGUAAAGUCGCCGAAGGGGACAGAUUCGGCACCUGUCCAUCCUGGUCUUAGGCUGAAUAAGUUUAUGACUGUCAUCAUUCAAUAUGAUGAAGAGCUAUCAU